CCCCCCUGGGAGUGCCACUGCCUUCUUCCGACAGGGAGAUUAACCGCGCAGAAUGCAAAAGGGGGCUUCAUCAUUNCCCAAAGGAGCUCUCCUAAUUGAGAUGGACCCGGGGGGCUUUAGCUAGUUGGUGGGGUAAGGGCCUACCAAGGCGACUAUGUGUAGCCGACCUGAGAGGGUGAUCGGCCACAUUGGGACUGAGACACGGCCCAGACUCCUACGGGAGGCAGCAGUGGGGAAUAUUGCACAAUGGGGGAAACCCUGAUGCAGCAACGCCGCGUGAGUGAUGAAGGUUUUCGGAUCGUAAAGCUCUGUCUUUGGGGAAGAUAAUGACGGUACCCAAGGAGGAAGCCACGGCUAACUACGUGCCAGCAGCCGCGGUAAUACGUAGGUGGCGAGCGUUAUCCGGAUUUACUGGGCGUAAAGGGAGCGUAGGCGGAUGAUUAAGUGGGAUGUGAAAUACCCGGGCUCAACUUGGGUGCUGCAUUCCAAACUGGUUAUCUAGAGUGCAGGAGAGGAGAGUGGAAUUCCUAGUGUAGCGGUGAAAUGCGUAGAGAUUAGGAAGAACACCAGUGGCGAAGGCGACUCUCUGGACUGUAACUGACGNGAG
rnacentral:rRNA from 1 species